rnacentral:rRNA from 1 species
UACGAAGGGGGCUAGCGUUGCUCGGAAUCACUGGGCGUAAAGCGCACGUAGGCGGAUUGCUAAGUCAGGGGUGAAAUCCUGGAGCUCAACUCCAGAACUGCCUUUGAUACUGAAGAUCUUGAGUUCGGGAGAGGUGAGUGGAACUGCGAGUGUAGAGGUGAAAUUCGUAGAUAUUCGCAAGAACACCAGUGGCGAAGGCGGCUCACUGGCCCGAUACUGACGCUGAGGCACGAAAGCGUGGGGAGCAACAGG